GGCCAGCAGCCGCGGUAAUACGGAGGAUGCGAGCGUUAUCCGGAUUCAUUGGGUUUAAAGGGUGCGUAGGCGGAAUAAUAAGUCAGCGGUGAAAGCCUGCGGCUUAACCGUAGAAUUGCCAUUGAUACUGUUAUUCUUGAGUAUAGUUGAAGUAGGCGGAAUGUGUAAUGUAGCGGUGAAAUGCUUAGAUAUUACACAGAACACCAAUUGCGAAGGCAGCUUACUAAGCUGUUACUGACGCUGAGGCACGAAAGCGUGGGGAGCAAACAGGAUUAGAUACCCUGGUAGUCCACGCUGUAAACGAUGAUCACUCGUUGUUGGCGAUACACCGUCAGCGACUGAGCGAAAGCAAUAAGUGAUCCACCUGGGGAGUACGGCGGCAACGCUGAAACUCAAAGGAAUUGACGGGGGCCCGCACA
rnacentral:rRNA from 1 species